AUUGAACGCUGGCGGCAUGCCUUACACAUGCAAGUCGAACGGCAGCACGGGAGCAAUCCUGGUGGCGAGUGGCGAACGGGUGAGUAAAGCACCGGAACGUGCCCAGUCGUGGGAGAUAAUGUAGCGAAAGAUAGGCUAAUACCGCAUACGAUCUAUGAAUGAAAGCGGGGGAUCGCAAGACCUCGCGCGAUUGGAGCGGCGGAUAUCAGAUUAGUCAGUUGGUGGGGUAAAGGCUCACCAAGCCGACGAUCGGUAGCUGGUCUGAGAGGACGACCAGCCACACUGGGACUGAGACACGGCCCAGACUCCUACGGGAGGCAGCAGUGGGGAAUUUUGGACAAUGGGCGAAAGCCUGAUCCAGCCAUGCCGCGUGCAGGAUGAAGGCCUUCGGGUUGUAAACUGCUUUUGUACGGAACGAAAAGGUUUGGCCUAAUAAGCUGAGCUCAUGACGGUACCGUAAGAAUAAGCACCGGCUAACUACGUGCCAGCAGCCGCAGUAA
rnacentral:rRNA from 1 species